UACGGAGGGAGCUAGCGUUGUUCGGAAUUACUGGGCGUAAAGCGCGCGUAGGCGGCUUUGUAAGUUAGAGGUGAAAGCCCGGGGCUCAACCCCGGAACUGCCUUUAAGACUGCAUCGCUGGAGUCCGGGAGAGGUGAGUGGAACUGCGAGUGUAGAGGUGAAAUUCGUAGAUAUUCGCAAGAACACCAGUGGCGAAGGCGGCUCACUGGCCCGGUACUGACGCUGAGGUGCGAAAGCGUGGGGAGCAAACAGG
rnacentral:rRNA from 1 species